AGGACGAACGCUGGCGGCGUGCUUAACACAUGCAAGUGGAGCGACGAACCGGGGCUUGCCCCGGGGCAGAGCCGCGAACGGGUGAGUAACACGUGGGUAACCCACCUCGAUGACCGGGACAACCCGAGGAAACUCGGGCUAAUACCGGAUGUGAUCCUCUUUCGUAAGGAAGAUGAUGAAAGAUAGCUUCGGCCUUCGCAUCGAGACGGGCCCGCGGCCCAUUAGCUUGUUGGUGGGGUAACGGCCUACCAAGGCUGCGAUGGGUAGCUGGUCUGAGAGGACGAUCAGCCACACUGGGACUGAGACACGGCCCAGACUCCUACGGGAGGCAGCAGUGGGGAAUCUUGCGCAAUGCGCGAAAGCGUGACGCAGCAACACCGCGUGAGGGAAGACGGCCUUCGGGUUGUAAACCUCUUUCAGCAGGGACGAAGCGCAAGUGACGGUACCUGCAGAAGAAGCGCCGGCCAACUCGUGCCAGCAGCCGC
rnacentral:rRNA from 1 species